UGGCUCAAUGGUAGAGCGUUCGACUCAUAUACCAAAGGUCGUGGGUUCGAAUCCCAG
rnacentral:tRNA from 1 species